rnacentral:rRNA from 1 species
GCAAGUCGAACGGCAGCGCGGGGAGCUUGCUCCCUGGCGGCGAGUGGCGGACGGGUGAGUAAAGCGUAGGAAUCUGCCCAGUAGUGGGGGACAACCCGAGGAAACUCGGGCUAAUACCGCAUACGCCCUACGGGGGAAAGCGGGGGAUCUUCGGACCUCGCGCUAUUGGAUGAGCCUACGUCGGAUUAGCUUGUUGGUAAGGUAACGGCUUACCAAGGCGACGAUCCGUAGCUGGUCUGAGAGGACGAUCAGCCACACUGGGACUGAGACACGGCCCAGACUCCUACGGGAGGCAGCAGUGGGGAAUAUUGGACAAUGGGCGAAAGCCUGAUCCAGCAAUGCCGCGUGUGUGAAGAAGGCCUUCGGGUUGUAAAGCACUUUCAGUUAGGAAGAAACGCAAAGGGUUAAUACCCCUUUGUAAUGACGUUACUAACAGAAGAAGCACCGGCUAACUCCGUGCCAGCAGCCGCGGUAAUACGGAGGGUGCGAGCGUUAAUCGGAAUUACUGGGCGUAAAGGGCGCGUAGGCGGUUUGAUUAGUCAGAUGUGAAAGCCCCGGGCUUAACUUGGGAAUGGCAUUUGAUACUGUCAAGCUA